GUUGGAUUUCUGUUGUAUAAUUUUAUAAUAUUACCAAGGUAAUUAUUAUAUUAUCAACAUCCUUCCUAUUAUAUUCUAAAUAUAUAGGAAAUUUUACUUUGAGAAAAUUAGAGUGCUUAAAGCAGGCAACUGCCUUGAAUACUCCRGCAUGGAAUAAUAAGUAAGGACUUUUGUCUUUCUUAUUGGUUCUAGGACAAAAGUAAUGGUUAAUAGGGACAGUUGGGGCCAUUCGUAUUUAACA
rnacentral:rRNA from 1 species